GACAAAUCCCCAACUAGACAAAUUUUAUUUUUUGAUGAUAGCCUCCCAACUACUAGAGAUUUGCAUAUAUUGACCCCUUUACAGGUUAACCCAAACUUAAUCCCUCACAUAGCUACAAAACAUGAUAUUUCUAUUAAAGAUAAGCAAAGAAAAAAAUGGCGACUCAACAAACGCCUUACCCGUUCUAGAAUUACAGGUAUGCAGGAUAAUAAGGACCUACGCCUGAUAUUAACUCCCUUGCAGAUACCGUCAACUGAUAUUUCUAUAACCACUACCACAUUCCCUAUGGCACCUCUACCAUGUAUAUUUCGACAUAUAUUUGAUGACCACCACUCACCUAUAUUAGAUAUCGGAAAUAUGACAGAAAUAUGCGCCUUCUGCAAUGCUAAAAUGUGGAAUGGAGAAAAAUUAUCAAAAAGCUCAUGUAGAAAUAUUCAGUUUUCUACAUGUUGU